UGGGCAACCUGCCCCUCUCUCUGGGAUAACCCCCGGGGAAAACCGGAGCUAAUACCGGAUACUCUGGCUGGAUCGCAUGGUCCGGCCGGGAAAGGUCCGCCGGAGAGGGAUGGGCCCGCGGCCUAUCAGCUUGUUGGUGGGGUAACGGCCUACCAAGGCGACGACGGGUAGCUGGUCUGAGAGGACGACCAGCCACACUGGAACUGAGAUACGGUCCAGACUCCUACGGGAGGCA
rnacentral:rRNA from 1 species